GUGCUUUUUUAAGCAGCACCUGUACUAAAAUUGGAACCAUACAGAGAAGAUUAGUUUGGCCCCUGUCCAAGCAUGAUACUCAAAUUUGUGAAGCAUUCCAUAUUUUU
ensembl:snRNA U6 U6 spliceosomal RNA